rnacentral:rRNA from 1 species
AAUUCAAUUGGAGAGUUUGAUCCUGGCUCAGAACGAACGCUGGCGGCGUGCCUAACACAUGCAAGUCGAGCGCGAAUAGGGGCAACCCUU